AGUUUGUUUCUGAUAAAAAAUCUGGUCCACGCUACAUAGAAGAAAGUGAGAUGGAAUAUGUAAGUAUCGACUAGGACCACUUUUCUUUAAUUGAGUUGCUUUAUUAUACUAAAGAAUUUGGAUAUUUGAUUGUUGUGGGUUCUACUUUAAAGACCCUAAAAAGAAAGUUUUUAUUGAAGUAGAAAACAACUUGAGUUUAGUAAGUCUUGUUGAAGACCUAAAAUAUGGGGACUUUUUAGACUUGCAUGUGAAUCAUGUUGUGGAUGAGUGGGAAGUGGUAGAAGAUGGGGUCCCAUCUAUUUUUCUUUGUGGUCCAGUAGGUGAUCAAAGCAGUAAUGUGGUUGGUGAAAAUAAUAAUGUGGGUAAGAAUAUAUCAACAGUUCAAGAUAUUAAUGUUGAAGGGCUAGAUAAGGAACCUACCCAAACUGACAACAUAGAUGUAGAAUUUGGUGUAGAUGAACUCUCAGAUCUAGAAAGAGAUGAAACAGAUCUUGAUGGUAAUGUUGAUUCUCAAGAGUUUAAUAUACCAGAAGAUGAUGAUUUUGAGGUUGAUGAAGAGUUAAGAACUCUUAGAAAUGAAAGGAGAAACUGUGUGGAAAAAAAAACCUGUCCAAAAUAAGGAAAUAAAACUUGGAUCAGCAGGCGUUGAUCGGGGAUUUGAAGAUAUUGGAAGGAAUAUGGCUGCUAGAUACAGUGAAAGAUUAGGGGAAGAUGAGGAGUAUAUAUAUUGUUCAGAUCUUGAUAGUGAUGACAGUAGGGAUGAAUUAGAACCUGAAGCUGUCAGGGGAGUUGAUUUACCAGAAAGAAGGAAAAGUAAAAAGUGAUUGAUCAAGAGACAAAACAUAGUUGGAGUUUCUUCAUUAACUACUUGAUUCAAGAUUUGAACUUAGGCACUGGACAUGGACUGACUAUCAUGUCAGAUAUGCAAAAGGGUCUUGUGCCUAUUAUACUUGAGUUGCUACCAGAUUAUGAAAUAAGGUGGUGUGCAAGACACAUCUAGUCCGAUUGGCAUCAGACCUGGAGAGGAGAAGAAAGAAGAAAACCAUUUUGGAGGCGUACUAAAUCCAAUUUUGAAGUGAAGUUUACGGAUGAUAUGGGCAAACUCAGUCAACUUGGAUGGAAUGAGAUAACUUGAAAGCUCUAGCCAGGUAGCAAGUUCUAGCAUGCCACCAACCUUCGGCCAGCCAUCAAAUUUCAACAGUUCUAUGUAUGUUGAUACCUUGGCAGUUAUAAGAGUUUAGCCAACUGGAAGAGGUAGAGGUAGAGGUCAAGGUACUGACAAAGGUAAGGGAGCUGACAAAGACAAAAGAACUGGAAGAGGCACUGGUAGAGGUAGAGGAAAAAAAGUAUAUCUGAUCAACAACUUGGAAAAAAAGGACCACUGGAGCAUCAAAUCAUCAGUAGGACAAAAGAGGUCUAAGACUGUAGGAUUUGGUAUCUACACUGAUCAAAUGAGUGGCAGUCAAACAUUAAAUAACUAGAGGUAAAAGAGUUGUCCUUCCGAGAGUUUACAAAGAUGCAACUCAAACAAAUAUUGAUAUUGGUUACAAGUCUUGAGGAAUGAAGUGAAAGGGAAAGAAAGUUGUCACAACUUCUCAAUUGCAACGUAUGAGUCAGUCAAAAACAAGCCAACUUGAAAGGUCUAGUGCAUCAGGAGGAAUAUGAAGUUGUUGAAUUAAUUGUGUUUUUAGUACAAUGUAUGUUUUGGUGAUUAGUUGUAUGGCUACUUUGGUACUUUGUUGGAUUUUUUUGAAGAUUCUGAACUAUAUUUUGUGGUAUGUUUUAGAUUUAUUUUUUAAGAACACUUCAUGUAUGGUUGGAGCUCAUUUUGAGCAGUUAAAUGAUAGAUUAUUGUGUUUAAAAUGU